rnacentral:rRNA from 1 species
CACGCAGGCGGCCCGUUAAAUUAGAAGUGAAAGCCCUGGGCUCAACCCGGGAAUUGCUUUUAAGACUGGCGGGCUUGAAUCCGUGAGAGGGUAGGGGAAUUCCGAGUUUAGAGGUGAAAUUCGUAGAUAUUCGGAAGAACACCAGUGGCGAAGGCGCCUACCUGGCACGGCAUUGACGCUCAUGUGCGAAAGCGUGGGGAGCAAACA